rnacentral:misc_RNA from 1 species
GUGAAUCAUCGAAUUUUUGAACGCAAAUUGCACUCUCUUCGGUGAGUAUGCCUGUUUGAGGGUCAGCCUAUAAAAAAUGGACAUCGUAGCUGUUUCGCGGUGGCGUUCGUAGGGAAUUGGGUCAUUUUAUAUCUUUUGGUUUUAAGAGAUUUAAAAUUUUCUUUUUGGUUCCAUGACGGUUUCUAAGUAUUACUUGUUUACAUGUUUAUGGUAUUGU